rnacentral:lncRNA from 1 species
GUAUAAGCAAUGUGGUCUCGGACAAUGGCUGGGACGGACGGAGUACAAUUAUCAGUGUGUUUCAUCUUGUUCUCUCUGUCCUUCCUCUGCCCCGAAAUCUACAAGAAUAAAAAUACACAUCACACAAAAUAAGCUAAGGCAAAAUCAUUUGUGGAUGUUGAAGUAUAUAUAUAAUGGAUUGUAUUCUAUCAGGUUGCUUCAAGUAAAGAAUUUAAAUUUUUUGCCAAAAUUCUACGGGAUGUGACGUUUUGUAUAAAGACAACUUAAAAUAAAGUUUUGAAUUAAUAUUUAGAACCUUUUCCUUACUGUGAUGGAAAUGUAAAAAACAACUUGUUUGCACCUCGAUCAUUCAAGUGGAAUUUGAGACGUUGAUUAGCUGGGCUUCAAAACCGAGUUUUUGGAUCUAGAAGUCGGUUUAUUCGUACCGUUUGUGUGAAGAACUUAUAAACCAAUUUCUGAAUUUUAAGUCAGAAUAUGAAUUAAAAAUUUUAAUUUUUUUUGUUACUUAUUUUUAUUUGAAAUUUUAUUUUAAAAAAAUGUAAAGCACCACUUUCAAAUAUAAUUUAUAAUAUUUUAUUAUUAUAUUAAUAAUUUUUAUACCCAAGAAGUUCUAAAUAUGAAAAAAAAUUAUACAAACAUAUAAAUUAAAAACAAUUUUUCAUUUAUAAGUAACUUCUAAUUUAUGAACAAUAUAACUUAAGUCUAACGAUCUCCCGAUACCGGUCUCUUGCCAAAGUUGUAUGUGAAUUUCGGCACAAUUACAUCUUGUUAGUGAAUCCAUUUUCAUAUUCCUCUCCAAUCAAUUUUUAUUUAAUUCAAAAACAUAAAAGGAUUCCUGACAAGACAAAACAUAAAAGGAUUUGGUUGAUAGUAUCAUUAUCAGAAAAGGUUUCGGAUUCAACUAGCAAAUGGAGUUCACUUCUAAUUCGAUUAGCAAAAAGAUCAGUUUAAUCAGGAUGAAACCUGGAACUAUUAAUACCCUGAUAUGCACACAAUUCACAACACCUUAAUUCUUCCCUCAACAUGCCAACAUCUUCCAUCUAUCAUCUCCCUGAGGAGCUUGUAAUCAGAGUACUCUCAUCUUUGCCCGUAAAAUACGUGCUCCGAUGCAAACUGGUCUGCAAAUUAUGGCUAUCCAUUACUUCAGACCCCGAAUUCAUCCAAACUCAUCUCAAAUUCUCCCAGCAAAGACCUUCAGUGCUGGCAGACGCUGAAGUUUACGACAUGCAAGGCUCUUCUUACAAGAUUGUCUCGAUGAUCUCAAACUCCUUUGAAGAUUCUGUCACUGUUCCUCUGCCCUCGUCGUAUUCAGAUCCGGAUCAUGUUUCCUCUUCGUGUAAUGGCCUUGUGUGUUUAAACGAUUACAGCAAAUCUAAUAUAUACAUUUGGAACCCGUCAACUAGACAGGGGAAAGAGCUCCCUCGCCCGAAAAUUCAAGACAAUUAUACGCUUUUAAUUUGCAUAGGGUUUUAUUUCGACUCUGUCUCUGAUGACUACAAAAUUCUGAGGCUUGUAUUUGCAUAUCCACACAAGACUGCAAGACAGUCGAGAUCAAGUCUGCGAGUGGAGAUUUAUUCCACGAAAUCUGAUUCUUGGAGCGAGAUUCAAGUUGAAGAUGCAGAUAUAAGCUAUGUGUACUAUGGUCGAAACAUAGGAGGUGUAACAAGUGGUCCUGUUAUAAAAGGGGUACUAUAUACGACCGGUAACAAGGAGCUAAUCUCAUUCCGAUUGAAUAAAAGGGUGUUAAAACGAGUUUCGUUGCCUAGUAAUUUUAAAAUUAAUUAUGAGACCGAAGUUUUUGAAUUUGAAGGGUGCGCGGCUUUAAUCUUGUACCACAAUAAUGAGGAAUCACUUAGUUUGUGGACAUUUGAUGAUGAUGAUGAUGGCGAUGAUGAUGAUAAUUGGGGUCGAGGGAUUUGGACAAAGAAGUUGAAUUUAGAAGGUGAUAUUAGGAUGAACUGGACAAGCAAAUACUUUGGCAAUGGACAAUUUGUUGCAUGGGAAGAUUGUAAAAGAAUCAUCUUGUAUGACUAUAACAAGAAAGAGGCCAAGGAGCAUCGGCUUCAACUUCCAAGUAACUGGUAUAUUGAUUCAUUUUUCAGGCAUACUGAGAGUCUUGUUUCUCUCGAGGGGUUCACUAAAUUUUGAUUAGAGUACUGGUAUAAGCGAUGUGGUCUCAGACAAGAAAGAACGGGCAUGCAAGAUGUUUGUAUAUGGUGAUAACAAAUGGCUGGGAGCCUGGGACGGAGAGAGUACAACUUAUCGGUGUGUUUUCUCAAACUUACUACAUCUUAUAAUUGAAUCAAUUUCUAAGCUUGAAAUUCUUACUUGUUUGGAAACAUUUAGACGGAUAGAUUUGUAGCUCUAUGUUUUGGAUCCGCAUAGUCCUUCUCAUCUUGCUCUCUCUGUCCUUCCUCAGUCCCGAAAUCUACAAGAAUCAAAUUACACAUGACACAAAAUAAGCUAAGGCAAAGUCAUUUGUGGGUGUUGAAGUAUAUAUAAUGGAUUGUAUUCUAUCAGGUUGCUUCAAGUAAGAACAAAAUAAUUUGCAGUUUCUAUUUUAACUAUGCUCCAGAAGCUUAUUCGUACUUAUGAAUCAAUUUUUGACUUCUAAGUCAGAAUCGAGAAAUUGAAAAUUCUAACCUUAUUUUUACUUAUUUUAUUUUUGAAAAUAUGUUUUACAAAAAAUGUAAAGGAUCACUUUCAAAAAAAAUUUAUAAAAAUUUAAUUAUUAUAUUAAUACUUUCUAUACCCAAUAAGUUCUAAAUAUGAAGAAAAAUUAUAUAAACACAUAAAUUAAAAAUUAUUUAUUAUUUAUAAAUAACUUCUGACUUAUAAACAAUAUAACUUAAGUUAAACAUAUCACGAUACUGAUCUCUUGUCAAAGUUGUACGUGCAUCUUCUUAGUGAAUUCAUUUUCAUAUUCCUACUCCAAUCAAAUUUUCAUGUAAUCCAAAUACAUAAUAAGAUUUGGUUGAUGAUAUCAUUAUCAGGAACGGUUUUGGAUUCAACUAGCAAAUAGAGUUGAUUUCUAAUUCGAAUAGCAAAAAGAUUAGUUUAGUUAGGAUGAAAUUCUUACUUGUUUGGAAACAUUUAGAUGGAUAGAUUUGUACCUCUAUGUUUUGGAUCCGCAUAUUCCUUCUCAUCUUGCUCUCUUUCCUUCCUCUGUCCUGAAAUCUACAAGAAUCAAGAUACACAUGACACGAAAUUAGGUAUGGCGAAAACAUUUGUG